rnacentral:rRNA from 1 species
AUAGGUGGAUGACUAGGCUUGUAGUGCUGAUGAAGGACGUGACAAGCUACGAUAUGCUCCGGGGAGAUGCAUGUAGUCGAAGAUCCGGAGAUUUCCGAAUGUGACUUCACCUUGAAUCCGUAAGGAUGAAUAACGCAGGGAAUUGAAACAUCUUAGUACCUGCAGGAAAAGAAAUCAAUUGAGAUACUGUUAAUAACGGCGAGUGAACGCAGUACAGGGCAAACUGAAUCCUUUAUAGUAAUAUAGAGGAGAUGUGGUGUUGUAGGACCUCUUUUUUUCCUAAAUAGACGAACUUGAACUUGCCUGGAACGGCAGACCAUAGAUGGUGACAGUCCAGUAAAGGUGGUUUGUUGGAAUUUAGGGGUAUCCUGAGUAGCAUCUACUGGAUACUAGAUGUGAAUUUAGGAGGCAUCAAUUUCUAACCUUAAAUACAAUACAAGUCCGAUAGCGUAUGAGUACCGUGAGGGAAAGUUGAAAAGCACCCUUAACAGGGAGUUAAAAGUACCUGAAACCUAUUAGUUAUCGCAAGGUACGGCUCUUAGGAGUUGUACCGUCCGUUUGGGAAAACGUGCCAGGGACUGUAUUUAUAUGGCGAGGAUAACUCUUUUUAAGGAGGCAUCCACAGGGAAACCAACUUCCCGCAGCAUUGCCAGGGGAGAGGUAUGAAAGUGCCUUUAGUCAUAUGGAUACGAUCUGAAACCGGGUGAUCUAACCCAGGGUAAGGUGAAGCGCCUUUAAACAGGCGUGGAGGCCUGAAGGGGUUCUGUGGACAAGCGUUCCUCUAACCUUGGGCUAGGGGUGAAAAGCCAAUCGAACCCGGUGAUAGCAGGUUCCUAUCGAAAUUGGCCGUAGUCAAGCCUCAGGUGAGGUAACAAAGGGGGUAGAGAUACGGAUUUGGGAUUUAGGCUUCGAAAGGGGCCGGUCUCUUGUCCAACUCCGAAUACCUUUGUACCGUAGAACUUGGGAGACAGGGAGCCCGGGGUAAGCUUGGCUUCCGAAAGGGGAACAACCCUGACUACAGUUAAGGCCCCAAAAUGUCAAUUAAGUAUUAAAGGACAAAAAGUGUCAAUAGCCAGAGACAGCAAGGAGGUUGGCUUAGAAGCAGCCAUCCUAUAAUAAGUGCGUAACAGCUUACUUGUCAAGGUUAUUGGCCUUGAAGAUGGACGGGGUUAAAUUGACUGCCGAUACUGUAGACUUCUGAAAAGAAAGUAGUAGAUAUGGCGUCCGUGUUGGGUAGAAGCAUCCUUGAAAAGGGGUGUGGACCGAUAUGGAAUGAGAAUCCUGGCGGUAGUAGGAUCUGAGCAGAGUGAGAAUCUCUGUCACCGAAAGGGCAAGGGUUCCUUGACAAUGCAAAUCAGUCAAGGGUUAAUCGGUCCUAACUCUUCUCAGAAAUUGAGAAAGAGGGAAAGGGAAACAGGUUAAUAUUCCUGUAUUAUUAAAGUAUGUGCGGCAACGCUAAGUUUUAUUUCCGACCUUUCUGAUAUUGCCAACACAUCUUAUCUGGUGUGCUAAUAUCUUAAAUCAAGGGAGUACUGUAAUGGUGAGAACUUGAUGAAAAAUAGAAUGGUGGUCCGUAUGGAUCAUUUGGCAGGGUUCAGGAAGCUGUGAAAAGGGAAUAAGAAAAGAUCUUUAAUAUCCGUACCCAGAACCAGCACAGGUGCCCCUAGGUGUAGAACCUAAGGUGUGAAGGAUUAAUCUAAUUGAGGGAAAUCGGCAAAUUAGCCUCGUGACUUCGGUUGAAGAGGUCCCUGUAGUUGUCUUCUUGAAAGGCGAUUUCAGGGCUCAGUGGCAAGGGGGGUCCGACUGUUUAACAAAAACAUAACCUUCUGCUAGGCUGUAAAGCUGCGUAUAGAAGGUGAAGCCUGCCCAGUACCAGUACUUCAAACUCCUAUCCAAGGGAGCUAAGAGCUGGUAAACGGCGGGAGUAACUAUAACUCUCUUAAGGUGGACACACUGCCUUAACCAAAUCUAACUAAAUGCUCGAACCUCCGGGUAUCUUCCACUACCACUGGACUUUUUGGCAUAACUUUUAUUAACUCAAAUCACCAAUUCAAAUGAAGUGAUUGAUUAAUGAAAAAACCAAAAACGUACAAUGGUGAAAAUGUGAGAAGUGCGGAAAACGAGCAGGAAAGGCUAAAUACUGAUUGGAUAGUAGGUUUCGUCGAUGGAGAAGGAUGUUUUCAUGUUUCAAUCAACAAACUUGAUAAAAUGUCAGUUGGUUGGCAAGUUCUUCCUGAAUUUCGUGUUGUACAACAUCAAAAAAAAAUGAUUUUGAGAUAUUUUCUCAAAUAAUUAAUUUGAUGAAUAAAGGACAACAUUUAACUAAAGAAGGAUUGAAUGAAAUAGCUGUUCUGCGUUCUAAACUGAAUCGACAAGUAACUCCAAAGUAUUUAGAAUCCCCAGAGACUAUACGUUAGACAUCUUAACAGAUGAAGACAUAGUCCGACCCAUUAUGCGAAUAAUGGAGGCAUCCAGAAAUGCAUGCCCGCCUUCCUAGUGAAGGCCAGUACCUUGUUAUCAAGGGAAAGUAACAGACGUGAGCGAAAUACCUUGCCGUUUAAAUGACGGCUUGCAUGAGGGGCCCAACGAGAUCCCCACUGUCCCCAGUUAGAAUCCUCUGAACACACUCUUCCGGUGCAGAGGCCGGAGAAUUCCAGUGGGAAGUGAAGACCCCGUGAAACUUUACUGUAGCCUGUUGUUGUGAUGUGGGCUUGGAUGUGUAGCGUAGGUGGUAGUUGCUAAAGCGUGAUCGCCAGAUUGCGUGUAGACGACAAUGAAACACCACUCUUUCAAACUUACGUCACUCACUUUGAGAAAAGGACAACAAUUGGUGGACAGUUUGGCUGGGGUGGCACCCUGCUGAAAGAAUAUCAGCAGGGUCCUAAGGUUGGCUCAACCGGGUCGGAAAUCCGGUGUAGAAUACAAGAGUAAAAGCCAGCCUGACUGGAUUUAGAACUAUAAUAAAUCCAGAGACGAAAGUCUGGUCUAGCGAACCCUUGAGGCUCCUUGAUGGGGCCCAGGGAUGACAGAAAAGUUACUCCGGGGAUAACAGUGUUGUCGCGCCCGAGAGCUCGUAUCGACGGCGCGGUUUGCUACAUCGAUGUCGGCUCUACCUAUCCUGGCCGUGCAGAAGCGGCCAAGGGUGGGGGUGUUCACCCAUUAAAAGGGAUCGUGAGCUGGGUUCACAACGUUGUGAGACAGUUGGUUUAAUAUCUACUGGAAUUGUUUGAUGUCUGAAUGGAAGGAUCUUUUAGUACGAGAGGAACAAAGAUUCGGCGCCUCUGGUCAACCGGUUAUCUGAUAAGGUAGGCCGGGCAGCUACGCGCUAAGGGAUAAGAGCUGAAAGCAUCUAAGCUUGAAACCCGCCGUGAAAAGAGACAUCGUAGAACUCUCAUAAAAGAUGAGUUUGAU